UGUUCUACAGUGAGUUCUGAGUAUCCUGCACCGCCCUCGAGGACCUGCAGGGGGCGCGCGAAGCCAGCGUGUCUUAGGUGGCGGUGCGCAUACGCAGUCCGCGUCAGCAGCCAGCAUCUUCCCUGGGGGCGGAGCUUGUUUUCCUCAGGACUGAGCGGGCGGCGCCAAGGAGGCUCCAGGACAGCGCUGCCUGCGUGUCCGCGGGAGGAGGACGCUCCCCGCCCACUGUCUGAAGUUACGCCGGUUUCCCACUGCCUGCGCCCGCUUCCUGCCGGGGUGUGUGUGGACCUGACCGAGCUGGGGCCCCGGCCGGCUGGGCAGGAGGGGACGGGUGCGCUGGCGGGCCCGCUUCGACUAUUCUCCUCGCCCGCAGGGAGCCGAUUGAAUCUGACUGAGACAUAACUUCGAUGAGAUCACACUGCUAUUAAACCUGCCCCAGAUACAUAUGCACUGGCUUGAGGACCAGCAUAUUGAAGGAACUUGAAAACGGAAGACCACCACCACCCUACUGCCCUCUUCAACAGAAAAGCAAUGGGACUGGUUCCUGACAUUGUGCCCUGUGGAGCUGUCAUUACAGCUUAAUCACUCCACUCACCAGAGAACUCGACAUAUCACAUCACACGUCUUAAGACUAUUUAGGAUGAUGGCACACAUUCCAAGCCAACUUUAUGAUUUCCUUUUUGGUGAUCUCCUCCUGUUGAAAAGUAAAAUGUCCUCCCAAAGGUUGUUUUCUGACGUUGGUUAUUUUAAGUGUCCCCUAUCAGAUUGCCAUUCUCCCCUCUCUUUUCUCAUGUUCUCCUCUGAAUGGAUAUCCAUCCCUUUGUCAUCAUUUUGUCUAGUUUUCUGAUAUCCUAAGCAUUCUCUUAAUUUCCAGUUCCACCUCCUGUAUACAAGGAACAUUAUUCUGGAAGACACUUCCCUGAAACCUGAGUUUCAACAGAAACUUGGGGGCAAGGGUUCUGCCCAUACAGUGAGAACAAGCAAUUAUAACCUUAAGAGAGUAUGGGAAUUCUGAUGUCACUACUCCGUGAUUCUUUAUUUUCAGUCAAUAAAUAACAUGUACCUCUGAUGAUGGCUGUAUGGUCAGGCAACUCAAGAUGGCUUCUCUCUAUACAUCUCCUGCUUGACUGGUGCCUGCUUCACCUACACACAACUCAUAAGACUGAUCUUCCUUCAUAUUCACCCCAGGCCCCAGCUAAUGACUGUUCUAGAUUUAGAUCAGAACUCACCACUAUGCUUAUCCAAGGGGUGGUGAGAAGCAUGACCCUGUGCUGAUUACCCUCGUAACCAAUGAGCCAACCUGACAUCAACUCCCCUAUGACUGGUAACCACUUCUUCCCCACCAGGAGCAAAGACUGCCAUCAUGUCCUGCCCUCCAGCUCCCACACAUGGCAGGAUGUUGCUCCAGGACUUUGCUUCAGAUGUGUAAGAUCACCCUAAUCAUUAAACUAUUGAUUAUCUCUGUUGCUGACUCUGGGAUCUUUCUCAGGUCUUGAAGCUGGGCAAGUACAGGGCUUGUAGACCUGCAGGGUGCAGUCCAGUGCUGACAUAGCUAAUUAAUACCCUCACAUAAAACACUUCAUUUAUAUAAACAUAAUGUAACUAGUAGCCAAAUUGGGUUCAAAAGAAUGGAAAUACAUGGAGAUCAGAAGCAACCUUAGCUCUAGGGUCCUCAGAAAGCCCAGAUUCAAUGGGAUAUCAUGGUACAGCACAAGGCUUGUGGGGAGAAAUGAAUAGCAGGCACAGCUUUGCCCAUCUCUUAUCUAAUUCUCAAUAGUUCCUUCUGCUAUUGGACCAACCUGGGAUGUGUCUAUGUCCAUUCAAAUACUAUCCCUUUCUGAAAAUCUUAUGAAAAUUUCAGUGCACAUCAUGUUAAUUAUGAUGUUUCACUCAUGAUGCCACUUAAACUUAUCAUCAUCUUGCAUUGUUUCAAAAUAUUGAAUGUAUGUAAUUACUCUAAUUAUUUAUGUUGCCUUAUUUUAGUUGUGAUGGUUAUAUAUUUUUCCAGGUUUAUUUUCUUCUCUUGUAAAACUGUGCUCAAGCAAAGUAGAUCUACCCAAUGUUUCACAAUGAUACCCUGUACAUUUUGCCUUCCCAAAAUGUCACUUUAAAUAUUCUAUUUGAAGAGUUUUCUCUCUCUUCUCA